rnacentral:rRNA from 1 species
GACGAACGCUGGCGGCGUGCUUAACACAUGCAAGUCGAACGGAAAGGCCCUGCUUUUGUGGGGUGCUCGAGUGGCGAACGGGUGAGUAACACGUGAGUAACCUGCCCUUGACUUUGGGAUAACUUCAGGAAACUGGGGCUAAUACCGGAUAGGAGCUCCUGCUGCAUGGUGGGGGUUGGAAAGUCUCGGCGGUUGGGGAUGGACUCGCGGCUUAUCAGCUUGUUGGUGGGGUAGUGGCUUACCAAGGCUUUGACGGGUAGCCGGCCUGAGAGGGUGACCGGCCACAUUGGGACUGAGAUACGGACCAGACUCCUACGGGAGGCAGCAGUGGGGAAUAUUGCACAAUGGGCGGAAGCCUGAUGCAGCAACGCCGCGUGCGGGAUGACGGCCUUCGGGUUGUAAACCGCUUUCGCCUGUGACGAAGCGUGAGUGACGGUAAUGGGUAAAGAAGCACCGGCUAACUACGUG